rnacentral:rRNA from 6 species
CGGGAACUCAAAGGAGACUGCCAGUGAUAAACUGGAGGAAGGUGGGGAUGACGUCAAGUCAUCAUGGCCCUUACGAGUAGGGCUACACACGUGCUACAAUGGCAUAUACAAAGAGAAGCGACCUCGCGAGAGCAAGCGGACCUCAUAAAGUAUGUCGUAGUCCGGAUUGGAGUCUGCAACUCGACUCCAUGAAGUCGGAAUCGCUAGUAAUCGUGGAUCAGAAUGCCACGGUGAAUACGUUCCCGGGCCUUGUACACACCGCCCGUCACACCAUGGGAGUGGGUUGCAAAAGAAGUAGGUAGCUUAACCUUCGGGAGGGCGCUUACCACUUUGUGAUUCAUGACUGGGGUGAAGUCGUAACAAGGUAACCGUAGGGGAACCUGCGGUUGGAUCACCUCCUUA